rnacentral:rRNA from 1 species
AUGGCCUCACUUGGAUUUCCAUCCAUAUCCAUACCCAUUCUCUUCUUGAUCACCCUGCUGUCCACUGUACACACAUCUUCUUCUCCUGGUCCAAGCAAGAGCAAUGGUAGCGACACUGAUCUUGCCGUCAUGCUGGCUUUCAAAGCACAGCUCUCCGACCCUCUCAGCAUCCUUUCCAGCAACUGGACUACUGGUACGAAUUUUUGCCACUGGUUUGGUGUCACAUGCAGUCGGCGCCGGCAGCGCGUCACUGCUUUGAAACUGCCAGGCUCCCCCCUCCAUGGAUCAAUCACUCCUCACCUUGGUAACCUCUCUUUCCUCUCCUAUCUCAAUCUCAACAGUACAAAUCUCACGGGAUCCAUCCCCGAUGAUUUAGGACGGCUUCAUCGUCUUAAAUACCUAUAUCUCGGAUUCAAUGGCCUAUCAGGUAGCAUCCCAACCACCAUAGGAAACCUCACAAGGCUUCGUGUUCUUUCCCUAUAUUAUAGCCAUCUAUCUGGUUCAAUCCCGGUAGAACUUCAGAACCUGCAGAGUCUUGGCUACUUCAGUGUCUUCAGGAAUUACCUGAGCGGCUCAAUACCCACCUAUCUAUUUAAUAAUACCCCUCUGAUAACUCACCUAGACAUCGGUAACAACAGCCUGUCCGGACAAAUACCAUCUUGUAUUGGCUCCUUACCAAUGCUUGAGUUCCUUGACCUUCAAGUGAAUCAUUUCAGCGGCCUAGUACCUCCAUCCAUAUUCAACCAUUCUAGAUUAACUCAAAUCUGGCUUGGACUGAACCACAAUUUAACUGGUCCAAUCCCUAACAACGAAAGUUUUAGUCUACCAGCGUUGCAAGAGAUUGGCCUGGAUAGCAAUAGAUUCACCGGUGAGAUUCCAUCGGGGCUCUCCUCUUGUAACUACCUCCAAGGUAUCUCCUUCAACCGGAAUUCCUUCGAAGGUGUUGUGCCAACAUGGCUGGGCAAGCUUUCUCAUCUCAGUUUCCUUUCCUUGGGUAGGAAUCACUUUGUUGGUCCAAUUCCUGUUGCACUUAGCAACCUCACUCAGCUAGGUACACUAGCCAUACCGGCCUGUAACCUGUCAGGAGCCAUUCCAGAAGAGUUUGGACAAUUGGACCAACUCACUGUGUUGGAUGUCUCAGACAAUCAACUAGUCGGACCCAUUCCUGCAUCUCUAGGUAACCUGUCUGAAUUAGCAUACUUGCUUUUAAACAAAAACAUGUUCCUUGGAUUGGUACCAGGAACAAUUGGUAGUGCCAACUCUAUGGUUCGUAUUGAUAUUUCAGAGAACUGCCUAGAGGGGAAUCUUAGCUUCUUAUCCAGUUUUUCUAAUUUUAGAAAGCUCCAGUUUAUUCACAUCUCUUCAAAUAAUUUCACCAGUGGCAUCCCUAACUAUGUGGGGAACCUGUCGAGCCAGCUGCUGAUUUUCAGUGCAUCUAAGAACAAUUUUGUUGGUGAACUUCCGCCUAUGAUUUCAAACCUAACACGCCUUGAAUGGCUAGAUUUUUCAAAGAAUCAGUUGGAUAGUAAGAUUCCAGAAUCCAUCAUGAUGAUGGAGAAUCUUCAGUGGCUUGACCUGGAUGGAAAUCACUUUUUUGGGUCCAUCCCAUCUCAAAUUGCAAUGCUCAAGAAUAUAGGACAUUUGUUCCUCUAUAACAAUAAAUUGUCUGGUCCAAUACCAGAGGGGAUUGGUAACCUGACCAAGGAAUACCUAAUACUGUCCGACAACCAGUUAUCAUCAAUUAUCCCAUCAAGUUUAUUUCAUCCUGACAGUGUCCUCCAGCUAGAUGUGUCUCAAAACUUCUUGACUGGCACAUUACCCGUUGACAUGGGCUAUUUGAAGCAAAUUUACAGCAUGGACCUCUCUUCCAACCUCUUGGUUGGUAGAAUCCCAUAUUCGAUUGGACAGCUCCAAAUGAUAGCCUACUUGAACUUGUCACACAAUUCAUUUCAUGAUUCACUUCCAGAAUCUUUCGGCAAGCUAACCAGCUUGGAAAGUUUGGACCUAUCACAUAACAAUCUCUCUGGAUCAAUACCAAAGUACCUAGUCAAUUUCACCAUAUUGGCUAGCUUGGACCUGUCUUUCAACAAGCUACAUGGUCAAGUACCAGAAGGUGGUGUCUUUUCAAAUAUUAGUCAACAAUCCUUGAUGGGAAAUUCUGGGCUUUGUGGCGCUUCACGUUUAGGACUUCCAAUGUGCCCAAGUAACUCUCAAAGAACUAUUAAUGGCCACAUGCUGAAAAUUUUGCUCCCUGCUAUCAUCGUAUCAAUUGGACUUGUAGCUUUCAGCAUAUAUGUAACAGUCAGAAAGAAUAUAAAGAAGCAGCAAGGGAUGUCAACUUCUCCCGGUAUGGUUGACAUGCCCACCCAUCACCUGGUCUCGUACCAUGAGCUUGUUCAGGCAACUGAUAAUUUUAGUGAGAGCAACCUGCUAGGGUCUGGAAGUUUUGGAAAAGUUUUCAAGGGCCAGCUAAGCAAUGGUUUGAUUGUUGCAAUCAAAGUUCUAGACAUGCAGCUAGAACAAGCGAUGAGAAGCUUUGAUACAGAGUGUGGCGUACUACGGAUGGCACGGCACCGCAAUCUAAUGAGGAUACUCAAUACCUGCUCCAACUUGGAAUUUAGGGCAUUGGUGCUUCAAUACAUGCCCAACGGCAGCUUAGAGAUGCUCCUGCACAACUCUCAAGGUACAACACCAUUGGGAUUCAGUGAGAGACUAGGCAUCAUGCUUGAUGUGUCGUUGGGAAUGGAGUAUCUGCACCACGAACACUACGAGGUGGUCUUGCACUGUGACUUGAAGCCUAGCAAUGUGUUGUUCGAUGAGGACAUGACAGCACAUGUGGCAGACUUUGGCAUUGCAAGACUGUUACUAGGUGAUGACAGCUCUACAAUCACUGCGAGCAUGCCUGGAACACUUGGCUACAUGGCACCAGAGUAUGGGGCUCAGGGAAAAGCUUCACGAAAAAGUGAUGUAUUCAGCUUUGGAAUCAUGCUCUUUGAAGUCUUCACUAGAAAGAGACCCACCGAUGCGUUUUUUGUCGGAGAUAUAAGCCUGAGGCAGUGGGUUGUUGAGGUGUUUCCUGCAGAACUUUUCCGUGUUGUGGAUGAUCAACUACUACAAGGGUCUUUUAGCUGCAGCACAGAAGGCUUUCUUGUGCCGAUAUUUGAGUUGGGUUUGGCCUGCACUAGCGACUCUCCUGACCAAAGGAUGACAAUGAGCGAUGUGGUUGUGAAGCUGAAGAAGAUCCAAGUGGCCUACAAUAAAUCAAUAGCGGCCGCACGGAAUGAAGCCAGUCAUUGA